GUGCCAGCAGCCGCGGUAAUACGGAGGGUGCAAGCGUUAUCCGGAUUCACUGGGUUUAAAGGGUGUGUAGGCGGAUAUUUAAGUCAGUGGUGAAAUCUCCAGGCUCAACCUGGAAACUGCCAUUGAUACUAUUUAUCUUGAAUUCUGUUGAGGUGGGCGGAAUACAUCAUGUAGCGGUGAAAUGCUUAGAUAUGAUGUAGAACACCGAUUGCGAAGGCAGCUCACUAAGCAGACAUUGACGCUGAGGCACGAAAGCGUGGGGAUCAAACAGGAUUAGAUACCCUAGUAGUCC
rnacentral:rRNA from 1 species